rnacentral:rRNA from 1 species
UACGUAGGGUGCAAGCGUUGUCCGGAAUUAUUGGGCGUAAAGAGCUCGUAGGCGGUUCGUCGCGUCGGCUGUGAAAACCCGGAGCUCAACUCCGGGCCUGCAGUCGAUACGGGCGGACUAGAGUUCGGCAGGGGAGACUGGAAUUCCUGGUGUAGCGGUGAAAUGCGUAGAGAUCGGAAAGAACACCAACGGCGAAAGCACUCUGCUGGGCCGACACUGACACUGAGAGACGAAAGCUAGGGGAGCGAAUGGG